UACGUAGGGGGCUAGCGUUGUCCGGAAUCAUUGGGCGUAAAGAGCGCGUAGGCGGCCCGGUAAGUCCGUUGUAAAAGUCAAAGGCUCAACCUUUGAAUGCCGAUGGAUACUGCCGGGCUAGAGUCCGGAAGAGGCGAGUGGAAUUCCUGGUGUAGCGGUGGAAUGCGCAGAUAUCAGGAGGAACACCGAUAGCGAAGGCAGCUCGCUGGGACGGUACUGACGCUAAGGCGCGAAAGCGUGGGGAGCGAACAGG
rnacentral:rRNA from 1 species